rnacentral:rRNA from 1 species
UACGGGGGGGGCAAGCGUUGUUCGGAAUUACUGGGCGUAAAGGGCUCGUAGGCGGCCAACUAAGUCAUACGUGAAAUCCCUCGGCUUAACCGGGGAACUGCGUCUGAUACUGGAUGGCUUGAGUUCGGGAGAGGGAUGCGGAAUUCCAGGUGUAGCGGUGAAAUGCGCAGAUAUCAGGAGGAACACCGGUGGCGAAGGCGGGUCUCUGGGCCGUAACUGACGCUGAGGAGCGAAAGCAUGGGGAGCGAACAGG